rnacentral:rRNA from 1 species
GACGAACGCUGGCGGCGUGCCUAAUACAUGCAAGUAGAACGCAGUUGCGAACGGGUGAGUAACGCGUAGGUAACUGCCUCAUAGCGGGGGAUAACUAUUGGAAACGAUAGCUAAUACCGCAUACUUUGAGAUGGACCUGAGUUGUAUUAGCUAGUUGGUGAGGUAAAGUCUAACCAAGGCGACGAUACAUAGCCGACCUGUGAGGGUGAUCGGCCACACUUGAACUGAGACACGGUCCAGACUCCUACGGGAGGCAGCAGUGGGGAUUAUUGCACAAUGGGCGAAAGCCUGAUGCAGCCAUGCCGCGUGUAUGAAGAAGGCUUUCGGGUUGUAAAGUACUUUCAGCGAGGAGGCGUUACUCGCAGAAGAAGCACCGGCUAACUCCGUGCCAGCAGCCGCGGUAAUAC